rnacentral:tRNA from 1 species
GCCUCUGUAGCUUAGUUGGUUAGAGCGCUGUAUUGGAAUCGCAGGGCCGCAGGUUUGAUUCCUGCCAGGGACU